rfam:Aeribacillus pallidus strain 8m3 NODE_5, whole genome shotgun sequence.
AGGUGAUGUCUCUUUACCUUUAUCAAUAGAGGCACUCGGCCGCACUGUGGGUGCUUCCAAAAGGACACCUUAGACGCUAGUCGUCGAUGGUGCGGUGUGAGGGCGGGUUAGAUGCCCG